AACUUAAGCUAGGGGUGCCUGGAUAUCCAGGCUGAGAAACACCCUUAGAACCUGAGUCUGGGUAAUACCAGCGGAGGGAAGCUGUUUAUCGAGGAA
rnacentral:ncRNA from 3 species